rnacentral:rRNA from 1 species
UACAGAGGUCCCGAGCGUUGUCCGGAUUCAUUGGGCGUAAAGGGUGCGUAGGCGGCGGGGCAAGUCUGAUGUGAAAUCCCGGGGCUCAACCCCGGAACUGCAUUGGAUACUGCCUUGCUAGAGUACUGGAGAGGGAACUGGAAUUUACGGUGUAGCAGUGAAAUGCGUAGAGAUCGUAAGGAAGGCCAGUGGCGAAGGCGAGUUCCUGGACAGUUACUGACGCUGAGGCACGAAGGCCAGGGGAGCAAACGGG